rnacentral:lncRNA from 1 species
CGGGGAUGCGGUCUGGAUUCUGGAGGAGGCCUCGGCGCGCAGCUGGGCGAGUACUAACUGUUUGCACUCUCAUCAGACCUGCCUCGGUCAUGGGAGAAGUUGAAGACUUUCUGCAAUGCAGCAUCUUCAAGCAAUACACACAUGGAUGAAAAUCCUAAAGUUUGCAUGAAGGACCAAUAACGGUAGUUUCCCUGCCCCUCUACCAGAACCCCUGGGAUCAGCGCCUGCCUGCCUCCUUUCUUCUAUGUAAUCGGCGGCCACCUCCCCUAGCUCUUGCUGCUAACCAUGCUUCCCGGACACCUGCUGCCUUCGUAGUGCCUAGAAACAGGCAAAGUGAGGGAGCUCCUUUGCUAGAUGAUCUUCAGAGCCUCUCCCAGCUGUGACCAGAAAUGGAAAGCCAGAGAAGGAUGCCUCGGGGUGGAAACGGGAUGACAGCCAGUGGUUUCUCCACACAUGGACUUGCCAGAACCUUUCCCGAAAUGCUAGGUUGGAAAACUCACAGCUGAUUAAUUACCGCAGUCCACGGCUUACUCCGUCGGGUGGACACAGCGUCCCUCCCCUCUGGAGGAUGCAGCAACAAAAUGCCUCCUUGGAAGCUGAGAGCAGCCCUCACUGGACAACAGAACCUGCUGGCGCUGUGAUCUUGGACUUCCCAACCUCCAGAACAAUGCACGGUCACCAAUGGAAGACACGCAACCAAUUCUUGGGGAAAGCGUUUGAAUCAGAACACCAAGGGAACAGUGCAUCUCCUUGCAUCCUAAAUUCCGCAAGUCAAGAUGGAGAUUAGGGCUGACUCCACCUGGCAGAGCUAAGGACACUUUGAAGCACACACCAAAUUCUUCUGGUGAGGCUUCAUUGUGAGGUAGGCUGGGGGUGUGGAUCUAACCCAAGCAAGACAGCCUGCACCCUCACCUGCUCCUUGCUGAGUCCUGGAGAGCUGGGGGACUCCAGGUGUCGUGGCCAUCGUCCCCGUACCUUGCCCAGGUGGGUGGACACAGAGAGAGAUGCAUUGAAGUAUUCUGGAAAGCAAUGAUAAAAAGAUGGGGAAGUGUCUUUUGAGCUCCCUUAACACACAGCCAACUGCACUGUCUUGUCCCAGCGGCCAGUGCACAGAGAGAAGUCUCCAUGCUGUUCUGUUCCUCCAUACAGAAACAUUUCAAUAAACAACCUUCAAUGCAGCGUCUCCUGCUUAACGUGAAGUGUCUUGUCAGCCAACCCAGCACAGCGUGGCUCUAUCCUAGGGAGUGGCUUUAAGCCUUUCAUGCAAUUCAUACCCCCAGUCCAAGUUAGG